rnacentral:lncRNA from 1 species
GAGCAAAGCCCCUUCUCUCUCUUUAAAAAAAUCAUUCCAUCUCCCAUGGUUGUCAAUUUGCACCCCCAUCUACUCCUCCGUAGUCAUCCAAACCUCUUCCUCUUCCUUUUCUUCAUCAUUUGACAUCUCUAAAUUUCUAGAGCACUAAUUAGCUUAAUAAUUGGUAUGUGUUUAAUCGAUUGGUUCAAUUUUUACGUAUUGAUUCAUUUUUCUUUUCAAUUAAAUGAGCUUCUGGUUAGAGUGUUUAAUGAGUUUUGUAUGUUUCAAUUAAAUGAGAAUCUUCUUGACUCUAUAUUCCUAUCUGUGGUCGAAAAAUGGGUACGUCCAUGAUAACUUUUGGUAGAUCAAUGAAUAUUUUUAACCGUGGAUUUUUAUUUUUAUUUUGUCGAAACCGUGGAUAUUUAUUAGAUACAAAAGUUGUGAACAACAAUUCACAUUACAUUGAAUUGUGACUAAAAAAUAUAUCGCCUUUGCACGUUUUAAAGGCGAACUCAUAGCUAAGCAGUUUUUAUUGUGGAGAAAUUUCGAGAAUUGAUUAAACCUGGAUUUGUAAUUGAGUUUAUGCAUUUUAAUGAUUAAACAGAUAAAUAUUUCAACUACAUAUGGAUUUAAUAUCAUAGUAUAUUUUAGCCUCUAUAUGCCACAAAAGUUGCGGACAAAAAUUCACAAUACAUAGAAUUGUGGUAAAAAAGUAUAUCGCCUUUGCACAUUUUAGAGGUGAACUCAGUGGUAAGCAUUUUUUAUUGUUGACCAAAACUUUGGGAAUUUAUCUAACUUGAAUGUAAAAUUGAGCUUAUGCAUUUUAAUGAUUAAAUUCAUAAAUAUCUCUAUCGCAUAUGAAUUUAAUAUCGUAGUGUCUUUUAGCCUCUACAUUGGUAUUUGUGGCAAAAAAAUGGGUACCUCCAUGAGAAACUUUUGCAGAUCGAUGAAUAUUUUCAAUCUGAAUAUUUAUUAGAUACUAGAAAUUAUAAGUCUAUUCGCGAAAGUCUAAGUCAAUGCCACGUACAAUAUUUGUUAAGACAUAUUUAGGGAACUGUUAUUAGCAUUCCAAAAAUCUCAUUCUACACUUUGCACAAGUAUAUUUUUCUUUCUAAGUAUAGACGCCUAAUUAGAUUUUUGGAGUGCUAACAACAAUUUGUAUAUUUAUAUACAUUUUAUUUUAGUUUGGAAAUCGACUUCUUUUUUUUUUCUUUCUUUAUCAAGUUGGGAGUAUUACUGACUGUGACCCUGUGCAACUAGUUGUUGAUUCGUUUUGAAUAAUCAACAUUAUUUCUUACAAUGUCUUGGGCGUAUGAAUAACAGAAAGAAAACGGUCAUGAUACAAGUUGAAUAAGAGUAGUACUAAUUAGUAAACAACUUGUGAACGAUGUUUGCUUAUAACCAAGUGGCAUGAAGGGACAAGUGUGUAUGUUUCAUGCAUCACUUGAACUAGUAUUAGUAAAGUCAAACAGGCCAAUCAACUUGUUGGCAAGUGGCCCUUUACCACAAUGGUGAAAAAGUGUUGUGCUCUUGCAUGACGGCGUGGGUUCGAAUUCUGUUGGUGACUAAUCUAACAUCUAACUUACUAAUGCUAUCGCUCAACUCAAAAAAAAAGAAAAAAAAUAUUCGAAAUAUAUGUAGUGGAUAAACACAAUCUCAAAAUUUAAUUGAACUCACAUAACAACGAUAAAUAAAGACAUUAUCACAACUUAGGGGUGGUGAGCAAUCCCAUUAAAAUAGAACUUAAUAUAUACAUGUUAAAAACAAAAACAAAUUGAUGCAAAAUCUCCUGAUGACUAAUACUAUUCCAAGUCAUGCAUGAAACAUACACAUUUAUCCCUUCAUGCCCCUUGGUUAUUAGCAAACAUCAUGCAUUUACUAAUACUAUUCCAAGUCAUGCAUGAAACCUACACAUUUGUCCCUUCAUUAUAAGCAAACAUCAUGCAUUUACUAAUAUUGUUCCAAGUCAUGCAUGAAACCUACACAUUUGUCCCUUCAUGCCCCUUGGUUAUAAGCAAACAUCAUGCACAAGUUGUUUACAAAUUAGUAGUACUACUAUUCAACUUGUAUCAUGACCGUUUUCUUUCUGUUAUUCAUAGGCCCAAGACAUUGUAAGAAAUAAUGUUGAUUAUUCAAAACGAAUCAACAACUAGUUGCACAAGGUCACAAUCAGAGAUACUCUCAACUUGAUAAGAAAAGAAAAGAAAAAGGAAGUCGACUUCCAAACUAAAAUAAAAUGUAUAUAAAUAUACAAAAUUGUUAUUAUCACUCCAAACUUUCUAUAAUUAGAAAGAAAAAUACACUUGUGCAGACUGUAGAAUGAGAUUUUUGGAGUGCUAAUAAUAGUUCCCUAAAUAUGUCUUGACAAAUAUUGUACAUGACAUUGACUUAGACUUUCGUGAAUAGACUUAUAAUUUCUGGUAUCUAAUAAAUAUCCAGAUUGAAAAUAUUCAUCGAUCUACAAAAUUUUCUCAUGGAGGUACCCAUUUUUUUACCACAGAUACCAAUAUAGAGGCUAAAAGACAAUACAAUAUUAAAUUCAUAUGUGGUCAAGAUAUUUAUGAAUUUAAUCAUUAAAUGCAUAAGCUCAAUUAUACAUUCAAGUUAGAUCAAUUUCCGAAGUUUUGAUCAACAAUAAACUGCUUACCUAUGAGUUCACCUAUAAAUUGUGCAAAAACGAUAUACUUUUUAACCACAAUUUUAUGUAUUGUGAAUUUUUGUCCGCAACUUGUGUGGCAUAUAGAGACUAAAAGAUACUACGAUAUUAAAUCCAUAUAUGGUCGAAAUAUUUAUUAGUUUAAUCAUUAAAAUGCAUAAACUCAAUUACACAUCCAGGUUAGAUCAAUUCUCGAAGUUUUGCUCCACAAUAAAACUGCUUAGCUAUGAGUUCGCCUAUAAAACGUGCAAAGAGGAUAUACUUUUUAGCCACAGUUCAAUGUAAUGUGAAUUGUUGUCUGCAACUUUGUAUCUAAUAAAUAUCCACGAUUAAAAAUAUUCAUUAAUCUACCAAAAUUUAUCAUGGAUGUACCUAUUUUUCUACCAUAAAUAGGAAUAUAGAGCAGCCACUUCUCAUUUUUCUAGGGGAAAUUUUAUUUGAACCCAUAUUUUGUAUCUCAACACCCAACUUACUUUUUAUGCCUACAUUAUAUUUGAUUUAUCUAUCAUUAUCUCUUUACACCCAAUGUUAUUUCCGAAACCAUCCUUACCUAUCAAAACUCAACUCAAUCAAACUUCUUUUUACACCCAACAAUCUACUUAAAUAUAAAAAAUAAAACCCUAACCAGUCCAUCAUCUCCAUGGAGCAAAGCCCCUUCUCUCUCUUUAAAAAAAUCAUUCCAUCUCCCAUGGUUGUCAUUUUGCACCCCCCAUCUACUCCUCCGUAGUCAUCCAAACCUCUUCCUCUUCCUUUUCUUCAUCAUUUGACAUCUCUAUAUUUCUAGAGCACUAAUUAGCUUAAUAAUUGGUAUGUGUUUAAUCGAUUGGUUCAAUUUUUACGUAUUGAUUCCUUUUUCUUUUCAAUUAAAUGAGCUUCUGGUUAGAGUGUUUAAUGAGUUUUGUAUGUUUUAAUUAAAUGAGAAUCUUCUUGACUCUAUAUUCCUAUCUGUGGUCGAAAAAUGGGUACGUCCAUGAUAACUU